UGCCUUCGUCGAGCCUUUAUCACUGUCGCACCUUAUUCCCAUUGCCAUCAGGGGUUUGCUGCUGCUGCCAUUGAGAGAGUCGCCGCUGGGGGGGCCGAAUAGGGAAAUGAGGUCCCCAUCGAUGUGGUCACAGAAAGGGAGAAACGGAUGCGCAUGAGAGAGUGACGCAGCAGAGGAGGAGUCGUUCCUCUAUCGCUGUUGUUGCCGGAAAUCUUGGUUGCUGCCGUCGUUCAUGCUGAAGCUUGUCACCGGAGAAGACAAGCUGCUGUGCCAUCCCCUUCGUUCUAACACCGAACCUCCCAUUUGUAACCUUCACUGCUAUGUUCUGCCGGAAAUGUCGAAAUGGUUGCUGCAAGUGUGAUCAUAGUUGGUGCUGCUGUCUCUGUCCCGGUUAGGUUGGAAUUAUCACUGCUGCUGCCAUGAGUUGGGGAUAAAGGGGCUUUUUCACUACAAGAU